CUCUUUUUCUUAAUCAUACAAAACAUUUUUCUAAUUAUUUUUGCAAAAUCCACAUACACAAAUUUAGGCAUAUUUCGGUUUACACAAAUAUUUGGCAACUAAAUUCACAUACACAAUUUGGCAUAUCAAAAUUAUCCGCUCUUUACUGGCUGCUGGUGUACCAGUACAACCGUUGCUGCCGCUCACUGCUGUUUGCUUGGCAUAGCUUUCCUCCUAUUCCUACUUUUGGUGGCUCCGUGUUUAUUAAUUAUUUAUUUUUACGUAUAUACUUUUUAUUUUUGGUUUAUUUUUGGUUUUCUGAAAAAAAAUCAUUUUGAUAUUCUUUCAUUGUAUUUAUUACGGAAGCGUAUUAGCGCCACACAUUUUUUUUUUAAUUUUUCUUC
rnacentral:lncRNA from 1 species